GACGAACGCUGGCGGCGUGCCUAAUACAUGCAAGUUGAGCGAUGAAGACUGGUGCUUGCACCAAUUUGAAGAGCAGCGAACGGGUGAGUAACGCGUGGGGAAUCUGCCUUUGAGCGGGGGACAACAUUUGGAAACGAAUGCUAAUACCGCAUAACAACUUUAAACAUAAGUUUUAAGUUUGAAAGAUGCAAUUGCAUCACUCAAAGAUGAUCCCGCGUUGUAUUAGCUAGUUGGUGAGGUAAAGGCUCACCAAGGCGAUGAUACAUAGCCGACCUGAGAGGGUGAUCGGCCACAUUGGGACUGAGACACGGCCCAAACUCCUACGGGAGGCAGCAGUAGGGAAUCGUCGGCAAUGGACGAAAGUCUGACCGAGCAACGCCGCGUGAGUGAAGAAGGUUUUCGGAUCGUAAAACUCUGUUGGUAGAGAAGAACGUUGGUGAGAGUGGAAAGCUCAUCAAGUGACGGUAACUACCCAGAAAGGGACGGCUAACUACGUG
rnacentral:rRNA from 1 species